rnacentral:rRNA from 1 species
CCUACGGGGGGCGGCAGUGGGGAAUAUUGGACAAUGGGCGAAAGCCUGAUCCAGCCAUGCCGCGUGAGUGAAGAAGGCCCUCGGGUUGUAAAGCUCUUUUGUUGGGAAAGAAAAGCAAUCGGUUAAUACCCGGUUGUUCUGACGGUACCCAAAGAAUAAGCACCGGCUAACUUCGUGCCAGCAGCCCCGGUC